CUUUAGAACCUAGGAAGAGACCCUCCCUGGAGAAGGGGACUAAGAGUUCAGAUAGAUGGAGCCUCAGCCUAUCAGAGGACAGCCUCCCACAGGAUGAACCCAUAGAUGGAGCCUCAGCCUAUCAGAGGACAGCCUCCCAUGGGAUGAACCCUGUUAGACAUCUUCCCCCAAUACAGCUCACCUAUGCAGCAGCAAAGCCUCGUUCUACCCCCCUGUAUGAGUUAAUGACCUCACAAUGUCAGAUUCCACAGGUCAGAGGCUUGGGCACAGCAUGUAAACACCAAGGGCUUCAUGGGAAGGGAUUGGGCUGCCUAGCCCUUGUCUAGUGUGGAUAGCAUCUGUCACUGUGGCACAAGAAAACCAGAACCAAGUGGAAUCCCCAGAAGAAAGCUUUCCAUUCUUCAAGGGAAAUGCACAGCUAAGAACUGCUCCUGUCAUCCCUGCUGGUCCAAAUCCCUCCCGCCUGGCUGUGUCUGCUAGGUCAUGUCACCUGCUGCUAUUCCAACACUACUGAAUUGGACUGCUGAUAUAUCCGUGAAGUGUUCGAGAGUGGAUCGAGCUGCCACUGCUGACUGCUGAACUGCUGACUUCCUGACAACACAAAUGGAUUUCCAGGAUGAGAUUCCUCAAUCACAUCGCUUUCCACAGCGUCCAGUCUGUCACAGACUUGUGCCUGCCGGGCAUCCUGGACACAAGGACAUCGUAUUAGCUACAAGCAUCCUCCACCCUGGAUGGGCUGUGAGGGUGGCCCAUAAGACAUGUCCAUACAAAAGCCUUCAUCCAGAAAUUACGAAUUUUCUGGGAUAUUGGCAAGAGGAUAAGAUGAGAUCGCACGCAUGCAGGAAAGAGACGAGCUCUGGGAGCAUCUCAUAACUGCUAGCCUCGGUCCCUAUCACUGUCAGGGACAGUGCACAGAAUGUGACCAGUUCCUCCAACUCAACUGGCUGUCUGCUUCCCCACUGCCCUACACGAUUCAAUAUAUGUUUUCCUCGGGCGUUUUUACUGUUCUAUUUCCCUUUAUAAUGUGUGUAGAUCUCUUAUGCAUCACUAAUUAAGUUUAUGUAUGUUCCCUGUGGGCCACCUAGAGUAUUUUUAGUAAUAAGGCAGAGAGAGCAGGUACCCAGAGAGCACAAUAGAGAAUGAAGGCAGAGAAGAGCCUCAGAAAAAAAGACAGGACUGAGGUGCUAGGAGGAGCAGGAGGGAGGACUUGAUUGUCUGAGAGCAGAAAGCCAGUGAAAUACAUUGUAGUCUGUGUGGAAGACACUUCCUGCAUUCCCCAAGAAAGAGAGCCCCAGCAUAAGGAGAUGGAAUGUGGCACUUCUGACCCCUGUAAGUAACAGCUGAGACCUUGAAACAUGACUGGAAAAUCCCCCAUCAUUGGAUCAUGUUAGUACACACCUUGUACACACACACACACACAUACACACGCACAGACGCAUGUACAUGUACCCACCCAUAUACACACUCUUAUUCACACCCAACCUAGCACAUACCCAUUACACACCAUGUACAUACACACCCAUAUACACAUUCCUGUACACACUCAUAUUCAUAUCCAUCUACACUCACAUGACACACAGAAACACAUCCACA
rnacentral:sRNA from 1 species